UAUCUUCCAAAUUGACCAUUGAUCCUUUGGUUUGCCAUGUGUACAUGAUUGCCUCAAAGCCCAAUUUGAUGUCAUGUUGCUUAAACCCACACAAGCCAAAACAAAACCUUAAAGCAUAACUCAUAACAAACAAAAACCAAUGUGAGACCAAAGCCAUAUCACAUUCUAACAUGCCAUAAACAAGUGCAACCAACUCCCUAUAGUAGAC
rnacentral:lncRNA from 1 species